CGGGGUCGGAACUUCGGUUCCGGCUUACGUGGCGCACGGGUGAGUAACACGUGGGAAUCUGCCCAUCUAUGGGGAAUAACUGCGGGAAACUGCAGCUAAUACCGCAUACGCCCUUCGGGGGAAAGGCUUCGGCCGUAGAUGGAUGAGCCCGCGUCCGAUUAGCUAGUUGGUGGGGUAAUGGCCUACCAAGGCGACGAUCGGUAGCUGGUCUGAGAGGAUGAUCAGCCACACUGGGACUGAGACACGGCCCAGACUCCUACGGGAGGCAGCAGUGGGGAAUAUUGGACAAUGGGCGAAAGCCUGAUCCAGCAAUGCCGCGUGAGUGAUGAAGGUCUUCGGAUUGUAAAGCUCUUUCGACGGGGAAGAUAAUGACGGUACCCGUAGAAGAAGCCCCGGCUAACUUCGUGCCAGCAGCCGCGGUAAUACGAAGGGGGCUAGCGUUGUUCGGAUUUACUGGGCGUAAAGCGUGCGUAGGCGGCUUAUCAAGUCAGAAGUGAAAGCCCGGGGCUCAACUCCGGAAUGGCUUUUGAGACUGGUAGGCUGGAGUUCGGGAGAGGGUAGUGGAAUUCCCAGUGUAGAGGUGAAAUUCGUAGAUAUUGGGAAGAACACCGGUGGC
rnacentral:rRNA from 1 species